GACGAACGCUGGCGGCGUGCUUAACACAUGCAAGUCGAACGGAAAGGCCCCUUUGGGGGUACUCGAGUGGCGAACGGGUGAGUAACACGUGAGUAACCUGCCCUUGACUUCGGGAUAACUUCAGGAAACUGGGGCUAAUACCGGAUAGGAAUCCUUGCUGCAUGGUGGGGGUUGGAAAGCUUCGGCGGUUUUGGAUGGACUGGCGGCUUAUCAGCUUGUUGGUGGGGUAGUGGCUUACCAAGGCGUUGACGGGUAGCCGGCCUGAGAGGGCGACCGGCCACAUUGGGACUGAGAUGCGGCACAGACGCCUACGGGAGGCAGCAGUGGGGAAUAUUGAACAAUGGGCGGAAGCCUGAUGCAGCAACGCCGCGUGCGGGAUGACGGCCUUCGGGUUGUAAAACGCUUUCAGCAGGGGCGAAGCUUGUGGUGACGGUACCUGAAGAAGAAGCACCGGCUAACUACGUG
rnacentral:rRNA from 1 species